CGUGUUUCCCCACACCGUGUCCCUGCAGGCACCUUGUCCCCCAGCCCCAAGCCCCAGCACACAAGGGAUUUACCCCAGAGAUGCCGGUGCAGGAUGAAGACGGGCUGGUGGUUGGGGCGAGGGGGAGAUGUGGGAGAGGAACAAGGCAGGGAAGGGACCACCCCGGGUGAGGAAGCGCCCAAGGAGCUGGGGGGUGGUUAUGGGGAGGCUGUCUGAAGGGUGCAAGCGAGGAUGCACGGGAGACGGGAAGGUCGUGAGGAGGAGGUUUCAGUGUGGAAAGGGAGAGGGAGAGUAAAGCAAAAGCAGUUGUUGAGCAGGAAGAGGUUUGAGCCAAGGGGAAAGUGAAGGAGCAAGAGGGAAGCUUGGCACGGAGGAGAAACGUGAGUGAAGAGCAAGAGGUGGCAGCUAGAUGCCCAAAGCAAAAGAGGAGUGGGACCUCGAGGGAGAGAAAAAUUUUGGCUCCCACAUCCCUGCAGCUGAGAGGGGAAGAAACCUCGACAUC